rnacentral:rRNA from 1 species
GAUUAUGGCUCAGGAUGAACGCAGCGACAGGCUUAACACAUAGCAAGUCGAGGGGCAGCAUAAAAGUAGCAAUACUUGGUGGCGACCGGCGCACGGGUGAGUAACGCGUAUGCAACCUACCUAUCAGAGGGGAAUAACCCGGCGAAAGUCGGACUAAUACCGCAUAAAACAGGGACACCGCAUGGUGAUAUUUGUUAAAGAAAUUCGCUGAUAGAUGGGCAUGCGUUCCAUUAGGUAGUUGGUGAGGUAACGGCUCACCAAGCCGACGAUGGAUAGGGGAACUGAGAGGUUGGUCCCCCACACUGGUACUGAGACACGGACCAGACUCCUACGGGAGGCAGCAGUGAGGAAUAUUGGUCAAUGGGCGAGAGCCUGAACCAGCCAAGUCGCGUGAAAGGAAGAAGGAUCUAUGGUUCGUAAACUUCUUUUGCAGGGGAAUAAAGUGCAGGACGUGUCCUGUUUUGUAUGUACCCUGAGAAUAAGGAUCGGCUAACUCCGUGCCAGCAGCCGC